rnacentral:rRNA from 1 species
CGGAGGGUGCAAGCGUUAAUCGGAAUUACUGGGCGUAAAGCGCGCGUAGGCGGUUUGAUAAGUCGAUUGUGAAAACCCGAGGCUUAACUUCGGAGGUGCAUUUGAAACUGGGGAACUAGAGUGCAGGAGAGGUAAGUGGAAUUCCUAGUGUAGCGGUGAAAUGCGUAGAUAUUAGGAGGAACACCAGUGGCGAAGGCGACUUACUGGACUGUAACUGACGCUAAGGCGCGAAAGCGUGGGGAGCAAACAGGAUUAGAUACCCUGGUAGUCCACGCUGUAAACGAUGGAUACUAGGUGUGGGAGGUAUCGACCCCUUCCGUGCCGCAGUAAACGCAAUAAGUAUCCCGCCUGGGGAGUACGGCCGCAAGGUUG